GACGAACGCUGGCGGUGUGCUUAACACAUGCAAGUCGAACGGUAAGGCCCUUUCGGGGGUACACGAGUGGCGAACGGGUGAGUAACACGUGAGUAACCUGCCCUCAUCUCUGGGAUAACAGUCGGAAACGGUUGCUAAUACUGGAUAUGAGCUUGCAAGGCAUCUUGUGGGUUGGAAAGAUUUUUUUGGUUGGGGAUGGACUCGCGGCCUAUCAGCUUGUUGGUGAGGUAGUGGCUCACCAAGGCUUCGACGGGUAGCCGGCCUGAGAGGGCGACCGGCCACAUUGGGACUGAGAUACGGCCCAAACUCCUACGGGAGGCAGCAGUGGGGAAUAUUGCACAAUGGACGGAAGACUGAUGCAGCAACGCCGCGUGCGGGAUGACGGCCUUCGGGUUGUAAACCGCUUUCAAUUGUGACGAAGCUUUUUGUGACGGUAGCAGUAGAAGAAGCACCGGCUAACUACGU
rnacentral:rRNA from 1 species